UACGGAGGGUGCGAGCGUUGUCCGGAAUCACUGGGCGUAAAGGGCGCGUAGGCGGCCUGAUAAGUAGGGGGUGAAAUCCUGCGGCUUAACCGCAGGGCUGCCUUCUAAACUGUCAGGCUCGAGCACAGUAGAGGCAGGUGGAAUUCCCGGUGUAGCGGUGGAAUGCGUAGAUAUCUGGAGGAACACCGGUGGCGAAGGCGGCAUCCUGGACCAUUACUGACACUGAAAAGCGAAAGCCAGGGGAGCAAACGGG
rnacentral:rRNA from 1 species